rnacentral:rRNA from 1 species
GAUGAACGCUGGCGGCGUGCCUAAUACAUGCAAGUCGAGCGAACAGACGAGGCGCUUGCUCCUCUCUCGUUAGCCGCGGACGGGUGAAUAACACGUGGAUCCCCUACCUAUCAGACUGGGAUAACUUCGGGAAUCCGGAGCUAAUACCGGAUAAUCUCUUGAACCACAUGGUUCAAUAGUGAAAGACGGUUUUACUGUCACUUAUAGAUGGAUCCGCGCCGCAUUAGCUAGUUGGUAAGGUAACGGCUUACCAAGGCAACGAUGCGUAGCCGACCUGAGAGGGUGGUCGGCCACACGGGAGCUGAGACACGGUCCAGACGCCUACGGGAGGCAGCAGUAGGGAAUCUGCCGCAAUGGGCGAAAGCCUGACGGAGCAACGCCGAGUGAGUGAUGAAGGUCUUCGGAGCGUAAAACUCUGUUAUGAGUUAAGAACAAAUGUGUAAGGAAAUAUGCACGUCUUGACGGUACCUGGUCAGAAAGCCACGGCUAACUACGUG